rnacentral:lncRNA from 1 species
CGAUUGUGUGUGUGUGUGUGUGUGUGUGUGUAUAUAUAUAACACAUAUUUAAUUUCUCUGUGAAAAUUACUGAAAAAAUCUCGCAUUUUCAUGCGCGAGUAAAUUUUGCGAGAAGUUUCAUCGUCCGUUAUAUUAAUCGUUUAACGAUAUUAAUCGCGUAUUUGUCAAGAGCUUCGUUUCAAUUUACAUGAGGAAUAUUCCAAAUAUUCGCGUUAUCAAGCGCCUCGACCGGUUAAGAGCCGUACACGUGGACGUAUCGAAAGGUAGCCGCGUUCAAUUACGAGCGUAUCUCAAUAAGAAGAUCAGGUAUACGACGGACAUCUUCAAUUACGGGCAACGUUGACGAGAUCGGAGAUACCGUGUUACACGACGGAACGUUUCCCUGGAGGAGAGAGUCCUCGGCGAUUACUUAUUGCGAACGAACGGCCAAUUAUACCCGCGUGAGUGCCAAUUCUACAGUCUCGGCUUCUUCUGCCUCUCCUUGCCGCCGCCGUCUCUACCUCCACGACAGAUACGCGUCAUCAUCGUCGACGUGAUGCACACGCCAUCCGACCUCAGAGGUCCCUUGCAAUCUCGCAAUCGCACGAAUCAUUACCGUGUUACAGACUUCCCUGACGGCGCCCAUGGGAGCGUACACUUGCUCUGAUUUUAUGUUGGAAGCGAGAAUAUAGAAGCCGGUGAGAAAAGUUACGCAGGGGACGACGCGAUGACGGCGCGUCAUCAGCGUUCUCGCAUUAAGACGUUGCUUUACGCGCCGUCGAGUUCAGCCUUGCUCGAAGCAUUACGAGUGAUUUAAUAGCGAUUGGUCGGGGAGAACGAGUGUGAUUAGCGAAAACGAGAGUGAAACUACUGAAAUUGCAUUCGUAAUGCGUACGAUGCAGCGAUGAUGCUGUGCGUUUAACGACGCUAAGGAUCUGUUCGUUACUGCUGAUUAGGAUUGUGAAAGGGUGAUGGUGUAAUUCCCAGAACUGUUUAGCGCACACGUGACCACACAAACCAAUGUGAAGGAAAAUAUAAACAGAGAAAGUGCAUCACGUUUGAAGCAGCGCAAAUGAAUAUGAUGAUGAAUUCUCUGUACGAGCGAGAGUAUAAGAAGUAGUUAAUAAAAACUUCUGUGUCUGUCAACAUUAGCAUGGAAUAAAUACAAAGUUUAAGGGCUGCACGCGCGGCAUAAAAAAUUAAUCGCACUGCUGGCGGCAAUAAAUACGAUAAUAUACAGUAUAAUAUCGUCAUUAAUAUAUCAUAACAGAGAAACAUUUAUUUAUCAGCAUAAUGUUUUAUUAUAAUGCAUUUACGAUGAUUCUACCGAUAUCCGAAUUUCAAUACGAAAAGUAAUCGACGACAAUAUAUCUCUUUUUUAAACACACUAAUGACCGAGUAUAACUUUCAGCGUCUCAAUUAAUCUAUCAUUCGCAUUCAUAUGGAUGCGAAAGUGAGUUUGGCAAGAUUCCAAAGUCUGUGCGCAAAACGACCCACACGAUACCUCGUUUCUGAUUGCAGCGUUUCGUGAGAAGAAACGAUGUGUUAGUUAAUAUUUAUUUCCGAGUAUCACGUAUGGACCUUGGACGUUCUUGACCUUUGGAUCAUUUCGUACGUCACUUUUUGCACGGCGUGACGUAAAUCGCGUGGUCAGUUUCCUUGCGCAGAUUAUAUGAGAAAUAACGAGACUGUGUUUAAUUUAGCAACGGCUGACACGAAUAAUUUCGUACGUUAGCAUCCGUGAACGCCAACUGAGAAGAGGAUCGCGCCAAACAUUAACGCCUAACUUGUUUGCGAUUGAUUAUAUUUCGCGUGUGAUAUCGUCGAAAGCCUUGUAAACAAAGAGUGUAAAAUCUGUUUUUGACUCAGAUUUGAUUUUUCGA